GGGAAUAGCACGCCCUUAGCAUGCAGGGGGCGGGGGAAAGGGUGAGCAGGCGCUUCCUAUUGGCCUGCGCUCUGCCAAUCAAGCGCGGCGGGCCCGCCCCCGGCCCCGCUCGUGGACGUUCCCCAGAAGGCGAAGCGGGGAGAGGUGCUGGUGUGCGCGCCGCCGCCAGGGCCGGCGCAGGUGGAGCGGGCGGCUCUUUAUGCUUGCGGUUGUCGCUGCUGUCCGACUCCUUCCUCCCGGCUGCGGGGCGCAGCUGCCCGGGGGCUAUGGCGGAGGCGCCCGGCGGGCGGUAGCUCGGCAGCAGUGAUCUCACCACCUCAAAAGAAGUGGGCUGCCUAGCACUCAUCGGCUAUUUGGAGCUGGCAUUAUUGCUGAAAGAUUACAAAUUUGUAACAGGACAGCUCCAGAGGCAGUGGACCCUGAAACAUAGGAGGUUCCCUCUGAUCAUAAGGAAGUACUUUUCUCACUGUGAGCAUGAUUGAGCACUGGCACAGAUUGCCUGGAGAUCGUGUGGAAACUCUCUCCUUGGAGAUAUUCAGAAACUGUCUGGACAUGGUCCUGGCCAGGUGUCCCUGCCUGAGCAGGGUGGAUGUACCACGUGACCUGCAGAGGUCCCUUCCAACUUCAACCAUUCCAUGAUAAUUCUGGUAAUGUAUUUUGAAGUUUAAUGGAGUGCAGCUUUGCUCUUCAAACUCUGUUAGAUCUAGAAGUGAGUUUGGAAAAGCCAGCCUGGUGUUUCUCUCCAGUCUUGUCUGGGUCUUAACUGCGUCAGUAAGCAGCCACCUUUCAUACAACAGGGUGCACCAUUGUUGGAAUAGGCUUAUUACGGAGGAUUGGUUGUGUUUGACAGAAUUUGACUUCUAGACAUAAAAGAGAACUAGAACUAAUGGGGUUAUCUAAUUUGCCAAUACUAAGGUCAGAUAACAAGGAAUUUAUAUAUGAAGUGGUAUAAUCUAGGCUAAAUUUAGUCCUGUAAUUGAACUACAGUAACAACCAUGUUUAGGAAGAAGACUUGAUAUUUGUUUGCUUUCUGAUUAAGACCAAACAAUGGAAGGAAAAGAAUUUAGGUGUUGGUCUGCAGUACUUUGUCAUGUUUUGGCAGGAGAGCUACUGUGUUUUAAAAAGUGAAUUCAGUAUGGUACCCUUACUAGAAUCAAUAAACGUUAUUUAUUGAAUAAAAUGAUGGACAGUUAA